GGAGUGUCUAUAUUGUGUUCAUCACUUUUUCUACUGUGUCUAUUUCUUCAACUUUACUCUUCCUGUCCUGGAAGAAGUAGGGGCAUGGGGUGCUGCUUGCAGCCAUGCCUCACUGUUAGGGCUCAGAGUUGCUGGCAGGACUAGCUCAGCCAUACCGAGGCCCUUGACCAUCUCACUUUGUACCUACAGACUCAGAAUGACUUUUUGGCAACGCCGCCUGCUUGGAGUCGGUGAGUGUUACUUCAGCGUGGUCAGAAGGGAAUGCCUCCACAUUCCAAGUAUUAAACAAACACGUGGAAAGAUCUCUGUAAGGAGGAGGGAAAUAAUUAUACACCGAGGACUGCUGUGCUUUGUGGUGACUUUCCCCACAGAAGAGGAAGAUGGAUUUGAUGAGAGGAGAAGGAAAGUGGUGGCUAUUACUAAGUGACCUGCAAUCUCAUCUGAAGGGAUAUUUGUGCAGGACCCUGCUUCUGAACAUGAGCCCUUGGCCACUACAGGGGAACCACCAACUCAGUCUAUUGAUCUAUUGGUCUGUGGCUAUCUGGAUAUGUGAACAUAUUGAAUGAAGAGGAAAACAUUGCUGCUAUCUCCAAAGGCAGUAAAGUAGAAGUUUUAGUAUGGUACACAUAGACAACUUGCUGUUAACCAGAAGAAAUAGGUAUUGCAUGAUACAUGAGAAUCAGAGAGUGUCUUAUAUUGGAAGAGACCUUAAAGGUCACCUAGAUACAGUCUCCUUCUCCAACCCUUCCUUGAAUAUACCUAGAGACAGGGAAUCCACAGUUUCUCUGGACAACCUGUUUCAGUGCCUUACCACCCUCUCAGUAAAGAGUUUCCUAUAAAUAUCUAACCUAAAUCUCCCAUUUUAAUUUAAAACCGUUCUCUGUUGUUCUAUCAUUAUCAGACUCUGUGAAAAGUCAGGCUCCCUCCUGUUUUUAAACUUCCUUCAAGUAAUGGAAGGGCACAACGUGGAUACCCCAGAGCCUUCUCUGUGAAGCCCGGUUCCCUCAGCCUGUCUUCAUAAGAGAGGUGCUGGAACUCUCUGAUCAUUUUUGUAGCCUCCUCUGGACCCUUCCAACAGCUCCACAUCCCUCCUGUGCUUGAGGCCCCAGGCCUGGACACAGUACUCCAGGUGAGGCUUCACAAGGACUGAGUAGAUGUGGACAGUUAUCUCCUCUCCUUGCAGGCUGCCUCUGUGGUGCAGUCCAAGAUACUGUUGGCCCUUCCAAGCUCAAUGAAGUUGUGAGGGCAGCAGUGAUGGAGAAGGAAGAAGCAAUCCUUACUGGGGAUCUAGUAGCAAAAUUCCUUGAGGAUUUGUAUUUGGCAUCCUGUGUGUAAUUUUUGAUGCUGAAAAAAAGCUGGCAGUAAUGAUGAAAUUGGAUGACAGCACAAAGCUGAGAAGAACUGUAAAUGCAGAGGGGGAUUAGGCUAUCUUAGAAGAAAAAAUGAACAAUUUUGAGGCCUUCAAUAGGAAUAGAAAAGGGAUAAAAUAUAUUAAUGCAGAGAGCGAGGUCAUAUUUGAAGUUCCUUUCCAGUGCUUUUCUUGUCAAGUACAUAUGUAACAGAUACAAAUUUGUAGGCCUAGCUGUCUGAAGUGUAGUUCAUUUUAAAAUAAAAACAGAUUUUAUUAAAUGCUUCUGUCAUUAUUUGGUUUGUAGCAGAUAUGAGGACU